AAUAUACUCCAUAUAAAACUGAGGGUUAUAAAUCUCUUUGAAUCAUUCUCCUUGGUCAGAAGACUUGACACGCUUGUGAACAAAUUCUGUCUCAUCAUGAAUAACAUUGCAGCAAAUUUGAACCAAACAAGCUUUAUACAAGCACUCCAUCAAGCUAUCAAACCGUCUACACAUGCUCUCGACACAAGACCAAGCUGGGCCUUCACAACAAUAGACCAUAGUAUCUUUCCUUUCAGCUAUCUCACACCAGCUAACCCAAUGGCGUUCUUGAGACUUCUGUUUUUAACAAAGCUAGCUUUCUUUUCUAACACAAACCUCUGCAAAAACGUCAAACUCAAACGGCGAAACCACAUUAUUACUUUGAUGAUGAAAGCCUAACUCCGCCAGCUACACGAUUCUCUUAAAAACAAUGACUUCAUACAUUUUGUGAUUAGGCAUAUCCUUCUUCUUGACACUUCACAAGCUUCAUCCACUUGGUAUUCAUAUCCAACUUCUAACACCAAAAGCUUUAUAAUUCAAGGACUGCAGAUCCAUGAAACUUCACAUUCACCACACAACACUUUGUAAAAGUAUAGCUAUAGAAGUCUCUGAAUUACUACUCUGAACUGCCACAAUUCUACUAUGUUCCCGGACUCCAAAUACAGUAUCUUUCUACCAGAAGCUAGCUUCACACGUCUAGAAUGUCACUGCACAUGUUUAUUUCAUGCCAAGUUCACUUGGUCGCUCAUUUGAUGUCUCUACUGGAACUGGUCAAAUCUGAAACAUAUGAUGGACAGAUCCCGGAACAGAUUGAAGAUGCUUGAAUAAAAUGCAGUUCAUCCGUCAAAACUUCAAUCCAACCGUUGAAUCUCAAUUCUGUAAUAGCAAAAAGCUUCACACAAAAUUUCAGCAUGAUCAGAUAACUUUAAGACCUCCAAACUCUCUCUUGAAGAGGCUAUCUUUAAAUCAGAUUUCUGUGAUCUUUCCCAUAUCAAAAAUCAAAAUCUUCUCUCCUUUCAUAAUUGUGUGCUAGUCAACCAAUACAUGAAUCACACACUUGAGAGAGUCCAUCUUGAGGAAAAAUUAUCUUAUUCUUUGAGUUUGCAGAGACACCAUUGACAUAUACUGAAGCUUUCCAUCAUUUGUCUUGAUGCAGUCUUGAAGCAGAGCAUAAACGGGGUAGCAAAACAGCCCAGAAAAUUAUGAAAUUUGGUGACAACAUCCACACCAAUCAUUUGAAGCCACAGGAAGAAGCAGAUCACAAUUUAGGUUUACGGUUUGCAAGUUAUGAUAAAAUUCGCAAGACAGCUCUUGAACAAUACAAACCUGCAAGCAGCCAAGUUUUAGAGCGAUUUCCCAUCAAACCGAAAGGAAUCAGAAGGUGAUCUUUAUAUCAUUGGACAAAUCUCGUUUCCAAGUUUCCAGAACACUUUUGGUAGCUCAAAUCCGAGGUCUGUAGCCAAAGUAACUGAAGAAGAAAGUAGCACCCAAGAAAGAAAACUGUACUUGAAACCCGAAAUCUUCUUCUUUUCAUCAUUCUCUGAUUUCUUCACAAAAUACCAGCAACAUCUUUAAGAAUCAUAUUCCAUAAGCUCAUCUUUCUUUCUCAUGACAAAAACCAUG
rnacentral:lncRNA from 1 species